GAAAGGGCAAUUCAAGUAGAAUGGAGACGGUGAUGGAAGAAUGCGAGUUCAAAUAUAGCUUUGCACGAGAGGACCACCAAGUGAAAACAUGUUACUCAAAUGCUUGCUCAUCUGAUUAGGAUAUCUGUAUUUCUAUCGCUUGAGUCUCUGGACCACUUACGUUUACCCUGCUGUAGAUGGGGUUUUGGUCAAACAGAUUUCUGUGAUACUGAUAUUGUUCAAGCAAUGACUUGGAUCCGUUUCUUGCAUAGCUUUGUUAAGUUGCCGCAUUUAAGUUAAACUUUGAUUGCGCUGUUUCUCAAUAAAAGAGAACCGGAAGCCUCACAGGUACUGGUUGAUUUUUUUC